GGCUUUAUAUUCAAGAAUGAUUUAAAAUUGCAAAUUUUAAGGGGUAGAAAAAUUUACUAAGGCUU
rnacentral:tRNA from 1 species